AGCCGUGCAAUGAGAAUAGAGCAAAUUAUUCUUUUACCUUUUACAAUAGAAUACUGUGUGCUUGCCGCAGACAGUGGCAUACGCUUAUUUUUGGAGGGUUUCCGAUUACUAGAAACAC